CGUCAUCGUAGGGUUAGUCGGGACCUAAGUCGAGUCCGAAAGGGGUAGACGAUGGCAAAUCGGUUAAUAUUCCGAUACCGACGGUUGUUUGUUUGAAUGGUGGGGGGACGCAUAGAGUUAAUCGAGCUCACUGAUGGAAUAGUGGGUCGAAGGGUGUAGGUUGUAUCGUAGGCAAAUCCGCGAUACAUUCGACCGAGACCUGACAGGCAGAGCAAUUGCUUCGGCAAGCGCUCUGAAUCGAUGAUACUGUCGUGCCGAGAAAAGCCUCUAAAUGAGAACAACCGUUGCCCGUACCGUAAACCGACACAGGUGGGUGAGAUGAGUAUUCUAAGGCGCGUGGAUGAACCCUGGUUAAGGAACUCUGCAAACUAGCACCGUAUCUUCGGUAUAAGGUGUGCCUUAUUUGUUAACAGAUUAACUCUGUGAAGCAUUGAUAGGUCGCAGCAAAGAGUCCCUCCCGACUGUUUAC
rnacentral:rRNA from 1 species